GAUGAACGCUGGCGGCGUGCCUAACACAUGCAAGUCGAGCGAUCUUCUUCGGGAGAGAGCGGCGGACGGGUGAGUAACGCGUGGGUAACCUGCCUCAUACACAUGGAUAACAUACCGAAAGGUAUGCUAAUACAAGAUGAUAUAAGAGAUUCGCAUGGAUUUCUUAUCAAAGCUUUUGCGGUAUGAGAUGGACCCGCGUCUGAUUAGCUAGUUGGUAAGGUAAGGGCUUACCAAGGCGACGAUCAGUAGCCGACCUGAGAGGGUGAUCGGCCACAUUGGAACUGAGACACGGUCCAAACUCCUACGGGAGGCAGCAGUGGGGAAUAUUGCACAAUGGGCGAAAGCCUGAUGCGGCAACGCCGCGUGAGCGAUGAAGGCCUUCGGGUCGUAAAGCUCUGUCCUCAAGGAAGAUAAUGACGGUACUUGAGGAGGAAGCCCCGGCUAACUACGUGCCAGCCGCCGCGGUAAAAC
rnacentral:rRNA from 1 species